UACGUAGGGGGCGAGCGUUGUCCGGAAUUAUUGGGCGUAAAGAGCGUGUAGGCGGUUCGGUAAGUCUGCCGUGAAAACCUGGGGCUCAACCCUGGGCGUGCGGUGGAUACUGCCGGGCUAGAGGGUGGUAGAGGCGAGUGGAAUUCCCGGUGUAGCGGUGAAAUGCGCAGAUAUCAGGAGGAACACCAGCGGCGAAGGCGGCGCUCUGGGCUGGAACUGACGCUGAGGAGCGAAAGCGUGGGGAGCGAACAGG
rnacentral:rRNA from 1 species